rfam:Felis catus isolate Cinnamon breed Abyssinian chromosome B3, whole genome shotgun sequence.
GCCUGGGUGGCUCAGUCGGUUAAGCGUCCGACUUCGGCUCAGGUCAUGAUCUCACAGUCUGUGGGUUCGAGCCCCGCAUCAGGCU